rnacentral:rRNA from 1 species
UACGUAGGGGGCGAGCGUUGUCCGGAUUUAUUGGGCGUAAAGAGCUCGUAGGUGGUUCGGUAAGUCGGGUGUGAAAACUCUGGGCUCAACUCAGAGACGCCACCCGAUACUGCUGUGACUCGAGUCUGGUAGGGGAGUGUGGAAUUCCUGGUGUAGCGGUGAAAUGCGCAGAUAUCUGGAGGAACACCGGUGGCGAAGGCGGCAUCCUGGACCGACACUGACGCUGAGGAGCGAAAGCCAGGGGAGCAAACGGG